AACGCACAUUGCGCCCCUUGGUAUUCCGGGGGGCAUGCCUGUUCGAGCGUCAUUUCAACCCUCAAGCUAUGCUUGGUUUUGCGCUUUGCCGGUAACGGCUCGCUCUAAAUCCAUUGGCGGUGCUAUUGAGCUCUACGCGUAGUCGCUUAAUUCUCGCGAUUGAGUUUUCAAUAAGCGCAAGCCUCACGUCAAAAUUCAUUAUGGUUGACCUCGGAUCAGGUAGGGAUACCCGCUGAACUUAA
rnacentral:misc_RNA from 1 species